UUUUUAUGGUCUUGAAGAUUUUAAACAUGCCAAUCUAAUUGAUACAACCCAAAUUAUUAAUCCCCUUGAAAAUGGUAUUUUUUUUCAGGGUUUCUCGAAUGGAGAGAGGGUUUCUCUAAGGUUUGGCGACUGCUUUAUGUGUGUUUCACUGUCACACCCCGGAUCGGCUCUACUGUAGCACGAUAUUGUCCAAUUUGGGCCCCCCUUGCCCUUAGGGUUUUGUUUCUGGGAACUCACAAGCAACUUCCUAUCAGGUCAUCCACCCUGGGAUUGCUCUAGC
rnacentral:lncRNA from 1 species